rnacentral:tRNA from 1 species
GGCCCCAUCGUUUAACGGUUAGGACUCAGGAUUUUCAUUCCUGCAAUAGGGGUUCGAUUCCCCUUGGGGUCACCA